CAGCAUCGCCUGUCAUCGCACGUUUCCGUGCCUAAACCUGUAUAUCCUGUGGUCUGCCUGACGUCAGCCCUCCCUCGCCCAAGACCUGUGGCAGCGCGAAGUGUAAAAGCUGCGCUUUGCAGAAAUGCUGCACAUCUGUGUUGUAUGGAGUCGACCAACUUCUGGCACCUGUGAACAGGAGGAGCACAGCUAGGAGGAGCCCAGCUAGGAGGAGCCCAG